rnacentral:snoRNA from 1 species
AGCAUUUGUGUGCAUCUUUGUUCAACUGAUAGGUAAAGGAAUGAAAGACGGAUGCAAAAAAAAAAAAAAUCAAUCUUCUUUUGCAACCCAGAGCUCAUUGUUUCGUGUAGUUUUGAAACGUAGAAGAAGGAAUAUG